rnacentral:tRNA from 1 species
ACUCUCUUAGCUCAAUUGGAAGAGCAACGGUCUUCUAAACCGUAGGUUGUUGGUUCGAAUCCAAUAGGGAGUGCCA